rnacentral:rRNA from 2 species
AGCGUACACGGUGGAUGCCCUGGCAGUCAGAGGCGAUGAAGGACGUGCUAAUCUGCGAUAAGCGUCGGUGAGGUGAUAUGAACCGUUAUAACCGGCGAUUUCCGAAUGGGGAAACCCAGUGUGUUUCGACACACUAUCAUUAACUGAAUCCAUAGGUUAAUGAGGCGAACCGGGGGAACUGAAACAUCUAAGUACCCCGAGGAAAAGAAAUCAACCGAGAUUCCCCCAGUAGCGGCGAGCGAACGGGGAGGAGCCCAGAGCCUGAAUCAGUGUGUGUGUUAGUGGAAGCGUCUGGAAAGGCGCGCGAUACAGGGUGACAGCCCCGUACACAAAAAUGCACAUACUGUGAGCUCGAUGAGUAGGGCGGGACACGUGGUAUCCUGUCUGAAUAUGGGGGGACCAUCCUCCAAGGCUAAAUACUCCUGACUGACCGAUAGUGAACCAGUACCGUGAGGGAAAGGCGAAAAGAACCCCGGCGAGGGGAGUGAAAAAGAACCUGAAACCGUGUACGUACAAGCAGUGGGAGCCUCUUAAUGGGGUGACUGCGUACCUUUUGUAUAAUGGGUCAGCGACUUAUAUUCUGUAGCAAGGUUAACCGAAUAGGGGAGCCGAAGGGAAACCGAGUCUUAACUGGGCGUUAAGUUGCAGGGUAUAGACCCGAAACCCGGUGAUCUAGCCAUGGGCAGGUUGAAGGUUGGGUAACACUAACUGGAGGACCGAACCGACUAAUGUUGAAAAAUUAGCGGAUGACUUGUGGCUGGGGGUGAAAGGCCAAUCAAACCGGGAGAUAGCUGGUUCUCCCCGAAAGCUAUUUAGGUAGCGCCUCGUGAAUUCAUCUCCGGGGGUAGAGCACUGUUUCGGCAAGGGGGUCAUCCCGACUUACCAACCCGAUGCAAACUGCGAAUACCGGAGAAUGUUAUCACGGGAGACACACGGCGGGUGCUAACGUCCGUCGUGAAGAGGGAAACAACCCAGACCGCCAGCUAAGGUCCCAAAGUCAUGGUUAAGUGGGAAACGAUGUGGGAAGGCCCAGACAGCCAGGAUGUUGGCUUAGAAGCAGCCAUCAUUUAAAGAAAGCGUAAUAGCUCACUGGUCGAGUCGGCCUGCGCGGAAGAUGUAACGGGGCUAAACCAUGCACCGAAGCUGCGGCAGCGACGCUUAUGCGUUGUUGGGUAGGGGAGCGUUCUGUAAGCCUGUGAAGGUGGCCUGUGAGGGUUGCUGGAGGUAUCAGAAGUGCGAAUGCUGACAUAAGUAACGAUAAAGCGGGUGAAAAGCCCGCUCGCCGGAAGACCAAGGGUUCCUGUCCAACGUUAAUCGGGGCAGGGUGAGUCGACCCCUAAGGCGAGGCCGAAAGGCGUAGUCGAUGGGAAACAGGUUAAUAUUCCUGUACUUGGUGUUACUGCGAAGGGGGGACGGAGAAGGCUAUGUUGGCCGGGCGACGGUUGUCCCGGUUUAAGCGUGUAGGCUGGUUUUCCAGGCAAAUCCGGAAAAUCAAGGCUGAGGCGUGAUGACGAGGCACUACGGUGCUGAAGCGACAAAUGCCCUGCUUCCAGGAAAAGCCUCUAAGCAUCAGGUAACAUUAAAUCGUACCCCAAACCGACACAGGUGGUCAGGUAGAGAAUACCAAGGCGCUUGAGAGAACUCGGGUGAAGGAACUAGGCAAAAUGGUGCCGUAACUUCGGGAGAAGGCACGCUGAUAUGUAGGUGAAGCGACUUGCUCGUGGAGCUGAAAUCAGUCGAAGAUACCAGCUGGCUGCAACUGUUUAUUAAAAACACAGCACUGUGCAAACACGAAAGUGGACGUAUACGGUGUGACGCCUGCCCGGUGCCGGAAGGUUAAUUGAUGGGGUUAGCGGUAACGCGAAGCUCUUGAUCGAAGCCCCGGUAAACGGCGGCCGUAACUAUAACGGUCCUAAGGUAGCGAAAUUCCUUGUCGGGUAAGUUCCGACCUGCACGAAUGGCGUAAUGAUGGCCAGGCUGUCUCCACCCGAGACUCAGUGAAAUUGAACUCGCUGUGAAGAUGCAGUGUACCCGCGGCAAGACGGAAAGACCCCGUGAACCUUUACUAUAGCUUGACACUGAACAUUGAGCCUUGAUGUGUAGGAUAGGUGGGAGGCUUUGAAGUGUGGACGCCAGUCUGCAUGGAGCCGACCUUGAAAUACCACCCUUUAAUGUUUGAUGUUCUAACGUGGGCCCCUUACCGGGGUUGCGGACAGUGUCUGGUGGGUAGUUUGACUGGGGCGGUCUCCUCCUAAAGAGUAACGGAGGAGCACGAAGGUUGGCUAAUCCUGGUCGGACAUCAGGAGGUUAGUGCAAUGGCAUAAGCCAGCUUGACUGCGAGCGUGACGGCGCGAGCAGGUGCGAAAGCAGGUCAUAGUGAUCCGGUGGUUCUGAAUGGAAGGGCCAUCGCUCAACGGAUAAAAGGUACUCCGGGGAUAACAGGCUGAUACCGCCCAAGAGUUCAUAUCGACGGCGGUGUUUGGCACCUCGAUGUCGGCUCAUCACAUCCUGGGGCUGAAGUAGGUCCCAAGGGUAUGGCUGUUCGCCAUUUAAAGUGGUACGCGAGCUGGGUUUAGAACGUCGUGAGACAGUUCGGUCCCUAUCUGCCGUGGGCGCUGGAGAACUGAGGGGGGCUGCUCCUAGUACGAGAGGACCGGAGUGGACGCAUCACUGGUGUUCGGGUUGUCAUGCCAAUGGCACUGCCCGGUAGCUAAAUGCGGAAGAGAUAAGUGCUGAAAGCAUCUAAGCACGAAACUUGCCCCGAGAUGAGUUCUCCCUGACUCCUUGA